CCAUUUUUAAGAGCUUGAGGUUCGGUCCUUGCAUAUCAAGAACAAAAUCAACUAAAACUUAGUCGAGGAAAAUGGAAUAUUGUAGACUAGUCCCUGACACCUUGUUUAUUAUCAUUUUUCUAGGUAAGUUCAUAAAAUGUAGUAUAUGUAUAUGUAUAUGUAAUUGAGAUGUUAUGAUUGAAUUAUAUAUUGUGUUGAUUGAAUAUGCUCUGAAUUUAUAUACAAAUUGGUACAAAAAAGUGAGGAAUGGAUUGAAUUACAAUAAAUGAUAUUGUUGUGUAAGUUGUGCUCAAAUGAACGAUAGGAUAGGAUACAAUUGGCAUACCAAUAGGGUUAUUUGCGCAUUGUAUGGGAUUAUAGGUAGAUGUGAUUGACGAAUGAUAAUAUUUUGAUUAUACCAGAAUCUAACAUUUGUUGUGGAUUACCGAAUUUGUCUCAAUACAAACCACUGCUACUGAUUAUCUCUACAGAUAUCCAGGUGUGUUUUGGAGGGAUGUGUAGCCUACAGGCUUAGCACUUCAGUGCUCAGGUGUGUUUUGGUGGUUACCCGCGUAUCCGUAUAUGUUUAUUGUAGUUCAUCGGGCUUAAAGGUGCAGAUGAAAACUUAUGUGACUGUUGAUAUGUAUAUGAUGUGAAUGGAAAAUUGUUAUAUUGAUUGAAUGGAUAUAAUAGUGGAUAUGUUUGAUAAAUCGAAGUAAAUGGUAUUAGAAUGUGUUAUGCUGAUUUGAUUCAAAUGUUAUAUGAAUUGCAAAUAAGUUACUCACCGUAUAUUUGUGAAUUGUGAAAACAAUAUAUUAUGUAUCUAGAUAUUCUAUUUAGUUAAUGUAUAUCAAGGUGAGUUAAUGUUCUAAACUAUGGACUUCUUAAGCAUUGAAAUGCUUACUCGAUUAUGUUUCUGUUUCGUAGUCAUCUUUAGCUGUAACACCCCAAAACUUUAAUUUUGGGAAUUGUGAAUGUGUGACACAAAAUAUUUGUCUUCUUUAGUGGUUAUGUGUUCUGGAUGUGUUUGGGAGGUCCCAAGUUCAAGCCAGAACUUGGGAAAAUUUUAGUAUUUUUAUGAAUAAGCUCUAUCUUUGGUCAAUAGGUUUUUAAGUAAAAGUUGGCAAAUAAUUAAUAGAAUAAGUUUGCUGGUCUGGUGGAUAAGUGGAGUGUUGGUGUGAAGAAGGUCCUGUGUUCGAAUCUUGGCGUGGGCAUUAUUUUUGCUCGUGCGUCUAAGAGAGUUUGAGAUGGACUAAAAAUAUGAGUAGUGGAUUUAGUGGGGAGUUUGAUGGAGAGAAAUAAGGGAUUGGAGUGGUUAUCAAAUAUUUUGUUCAUCUUUUUUUUCCUUUUUUUUUACUUUCCCCAAAAUCCCUCUACCCUCUUGCCAUUUUCUCUUCAUUGCUACCGAAUUUAUGCUCUCUUUCACACUUCAUCUUCUUGAUUUUUCUUUUCUCACUCUGCCUCUUGUCGCUCCACGUUUGUCUGUAAUCGUUCGGUAAGUUUUAGAUAAGUGAUUUGUCUCCAUUUGUAACUUUUUUCUGAAGCGUUUUGUUUAUGCCAAUUAGGGAGGAUUCAAGGGCUCGUAAUCACCAAUCAAAGUUUUAGUUUGUGUGGCAAUUAUUGUUCAUCGGUUGAAGGUAAGGUUUAGUCGCUUAUGGGUUAAAAUCUCGAUAUGAGUUAGAUUUGGGAUCACUUUAUGUGAGAUUAAAAUAGUGUUAUUUGUUCAAUUAUAGGCUUUGGAGUGCCCUGGGAUUAUUUUAGCAUCAAACAAAACCAGGUGUGUACCAGAAAUGCAGAAAAUGGGAUUAGUUUGUGUGGCAAUUAUUGUUCAUCGGUUGAAGGUAAGGUUUAGUCGCUUAUGGGUUAAAAUCUCGAUACGAGUUAGAUUUGGGAUCACUUUAUGUAAGAUUAAAAUAGUGUUAUUUGUUCAAUUAUAGGCUUUGGAGUGCCCGGGGAUUAUUUUAGCAUCAAACAAAACCAGGUGUGUACCAGAAACGCAGAAAAUGGGAUUCGGCGAAAAGCCGAAAUUGC
rnacentral:lncRNA from 1 species